rnacentral:rRNA from 1 species
AGUGAACGCUGGCGGCAGGCCUAACACAUGCAAGUCGAACGGCAGCACAGUAAGAGCUUGCUCUUACGGGUGGCGAGUGGCGGACGGGUGAGGAAUACAUCGGAAUCUACUUUUUCGUGGGGGAUAACGUAGGGAAACUUACGCUAAUACCGCAUACGACCUACGGGUGAAAGCAGGGGAUCUUCGGACCUUGCGCGAUUGAAUGGGCCGAUGUCGGAUUAGCUAGUUGGCGGGGUAAAGGCCCACCAAGGCGACGAUCCGUAGCUGGUCUGAGAGGAUGAUCAGCCACACUGGAACUGAGACACGGUCCAGACUCCUACGGGAGGCAGCAGUGGGGAAUAUUGGACAAUGGGCGCAAGCCUGAUCCAGCCAUACCGCGUGGGUGAAGAAGGCCUUCGGGUUGUAAAGCCCUUUUGUUGGGAAAGAAAAGCAGCAGGUUAAUACCCCGCUGUUCUGACGGUACCCAAAGAAUAAGCACCGGCUAACUUCGUG